rnacentral:snRNA from 1 species
AGUGCCUUCUAAUCAUAUUAGUCCAUAAAACUGGAUAGAUACAGAGAGGGUUAGCAUGGCACCUAGGCAAAGAUGACAUGCAAAUUCGUGAAGCAUUUCAUAUUUUU